ensembl:lncRNA
UGCCAACCCACCAGUGGAGAUCUACACCUGGUUUAAGGUGGGUGAGUCCACUCCAGUAGGAUCAGGACAGCAGUACAGCAUCACUGACAUCAGCUCUGAGGAUGGAGGACAGUACCACUGUGAGGCCAGGAAUGAACAUGGAGCUGAGAACUCUACCGCCGUUUCAAUAACAAUGAAAGAGGCCACCGCCCUAAUGAUGUAUGUCGUGACUGUGAUUGGCGUCUCCACUGGCUGCGUACUCACGGGAUCUCUCUGUCUUGCCUGCUUCACCAGGUUCCAGCUUAGAACAGAGGGGAUUGAGGACACAAGACCACCACGUCUGGACAGUACGAAGGCAGAGGAACCAAAUAACAUGGGUAACGCUCAUUAUGGGAACUGCGCGUUUGACCUGGCCAUGGAUUCAGUGUACCAGAACACCACUGGGGAUGAAGACAUUUAUCAGAAUGUUUAGAUUAAAAUGGUUAGGAUUGUUUUCCUGAGGCAUUUUGUACAAUCGAGUGACACACACACACACACACACAGACACACACACACACACACAAACUCA